UUUAAUAACGCCGUGACCUGCGCUAAUGGCUCACGUCGCAUUCGUCGAGAAUGGGAGAACGGCCGUCGGUUUCGAUGACAAGGAUCGACUUGUUCGCACGAGAGAACCAGAAAGAGAAAGAACACGAAAAAUAAUGAAACAAAUAAAGAAGGAAAGAGAGGGAAAGGGUGAGAGUUUGUUGCUGCCGAAGAAAUGGAAAAGGGUGCGGAACGAAUAAGCUGUCAGAAUAGAGAAAAGAGAAACGUUAAGUAUGGACCUAGCAGCAUCCGCGAGUCCCCACGAGUUGGGAACAAUCCGUGCACGCGAGACCAGAUGUGCGAUUGUGCGAAGAAUUGAGAGUGAGUCAUUCCUCAAUGGCACACGAGGGAGUAGAACGAGCGUACGUUAGUGUAAGUUAGUGUAAUGCUUUCUGUACCUACACGAUUGUGAACACACAGUUCACACAUGUAUAUAAGUAAACACAGAGAACUAAA
rnacentral:lncRNA from 1 species